GGGGUCCCUGGGCUUUCCCCUAGGGUCCCAUCAGCUGCUUAUGUUCUACCUUCUGACGGAUCACAGGAGGAGCCUGCAGCGGAGGAGCCUCCUCCUCCUCAGCAUCAGACCUAAAGGGAGUGUCCUGCCUGAAGGACCGGCUCAAGGUCGCACUAACAGCUCUUGCUAACUCCUGUUCCAGGCUGUUUAUCUGGGCCUCCAAGUACCCUGCUUGCGCCUGGAGGUCUCUCACCCCCAGGUCCUGCUCAAAGCUGUGCACUUGGGCCCCCAGGCAUGCGGCUUGCUCCGGAAGGUCCCUUACCUGUGGCACUGAGCAUGUACUUCCUGCAGUGCAGUUAGAAAUGCCCAUCCGACUCUGCUUGCAAAGUUCCUUUAUUUAUAGGCACAGCUGCUUAAAGACUGUUACCGGAAAGGAAUCCUGAUCCAGACGCCAAGAGAGGGUUCUUGGACUCAUGCAAGAAAGACUUCAGAAUACGAGUUUUGAAUUUUUGAAUUGCUGUUAAAACUUUCAUCAUGAACACUGAAGUGAGUGAAAAGAGACUUUUGCAGUCAUUUUUUUGCUGGCUGCAGAUGACAGUGACACCCUGGGAGUUGAGAAAUGCUUGUAAGAUGGAAGGAGGCUGUGUCCCUGAAUGAUCACCUGGAAGAGAGCCACCUUAGCCAAUGAAACUCCUGCUAUGAAUGUUUGCUGAGCAAGAAAUAUACUUACUGCUUUAUAUGCCUUUGAAGCUAUAGGUUCAUAUUGUUACCACAAUUUAAAGUGCUAUAAUAAAAAGAGUUCAGGAAGCAGGCACAUGGAAGCAAUAAGAGCAACAAACAUUUACACAGUUCUCAGGUCCCUGGACCAUGAAGGGCCACAUCCAAGGAGCUACCCCAGGAGGCCUCUCAUUUGCAUUUGUCCCCGCUAAUGCAGGACAGAGAUCAUGGAAGUUGGGCCCGACUGGAUGAGAUUUGGGGGUCUUUGGAAGUGGAGAAUGUGUUUGCCCUGGGGAAGAGAGGUGAUGUCUAGGAGACCUCUUCACUCAGGGCAAGCUCUAUGACCUGCUUUGACUCCAGAAUGUGGUAGAAGUGGCAUCACAUAAAUUGCAGAGCCUAGGCUUCAAGAGACCUUGCAACUUGCCUCUCACUGACUUGAAGUGCUCCCAUCAGAGCAUCUUGUAAGGAGCAGGUGGAGCAUGUGGACAAGCCAUCCCCACCAGCCCCUGAGACAUGUGAGAGAGGCCAGAACAGGCCAUCCGGACCCCACUGUGCUGGUGGAUGAGACAGCAGAAGGAAUAUCAACCUACCAACAGAAUCCUGAGAAAUGCUCACUCUUACUUCAAGCUGCUGCAUUUUGAUGUUAUGAAACCAUAAAUAACUUAUGAAGUCAUCUUUGCUGACUUAAAGUUUUCCAUAACUUUAUUAUAACAUAUCAAAAUUAUGAAAAAUGUGAAAAGUAGAAAACUGAUGAAUUUUGCUUCUUCAUAUGGUCUUUAAGAAUCUCAAAGGCACUGAAGUUUUUUAUCUUUUCUGUCUUAGAAUAAAAAACCUUGAAUGAAAAUCUGCUUCUUGGAAAAGCAGCAAGGUUUAUGCAGAGGCAAUCUGGUAUUUGUGUGCACUGGCAGCUGAUCAUACCCAGCAUGCACGCACUCUCAGGGCAGAGUCUGAUGCCCCACAUAAUGGGGCAUGGUAAGGACUCCCAUGUCCUUGAGAUAAAAUGAUAAGGAAAAUACACACUGCUAUUAGAAUAACAGGCCCAGCUUCUGCACAUUUUAAUUCCCAAAGUUUUCAUGAAAGACAAUGAUUUUUUGGUACCAUGUUUAACUCUACAAGAAUCAGUAGUGAAAACUAAAAAUGAUACUUUGUGAAAGUUCAUUAAUUUUGUUUUCAGCCAGUGGUGGCCUUGGUCAGAUAGAAUCAAAUCUAUGAUACUUUUUAUCAGAAAUGCUUAUACUGUGUACAAACCCAAAGUGAUGGCUUUCAAAGAUUGAAUUUGAUUAUUUUCUGUAUGGUGCAGAUGAAAAAUUACUACACAGGAGAAGGUGGGUUGGAGGUGCUCACGAGUAACCAGGAAACAGUCUGAAGUUUUUCUGAUACUUCUCCUUGGUCCAACCAAAUGUGAGAUAUAAACACAAACUUGGGAUUCCGUUCUUAUGUUUUGGUUGUUUCAGUCUUUACAGAUGUAUCGAAAGGCUGUCCAAAAAUGUCUGACUUCUGUAGUGUGCCUUCGUAGCACUAGAGGGUUCUGCAGCUGUGAAACUGAAGGCAUUGGCAAGAAGCCCUCCAUCUUCAAACCACUUUCUGCUAAGGUGUGGCUCUAUAAAACCACUAUGAGCUGGGCUUCACUGAGACUGAGUUGUUUCAGUAGGAUCUUCCGGAAAAACAUGUUCCCUCCUUUACCUGGGUUGUCAUUCUGAGAACAAUCACACCUCCAAUUUUGGCUUACUAAGCAAUAGCGUUUUAAUGAUUUUAAGCCAGGAUUUGCUCCUCCUUUCCUCAGUAUGAGAGCUUAACCACUGGAGGAACCAAGAAUUCAUGCUGGUUGGGUUCUGAUUCCACUUUAACUUACUGUAUAGCCUCAUCCCUUGUUUUUCUGGAGAUUCUCUUUUUCUGCUUCACUGAUUUAUAUUUACAUUAAAAUCAAAUGAGGCCAUGUUUCUGAAAUCACAUUGUCCCUACAUGGUCAUUACAAUGAGUCUGUAAUGUGACUGAAAGACAGCCAUGGAUACAGGUAGAGGAUAUCAGGCAAUUGAAUGCUCAUCAAGCAUUCAAUUCAGGGCAAAUGGCAUAAGGUAUGCAGUUGGCCUCUUCUGAUAUCUGUGUCUUAAUCCUUUCUUUAGCCUCUGUUUUCUGGACCAAGGCUAAGAUAUUUUCUGGGCACAGUGGCUCAUGCCUAUAAUCCCAGCACUCUGGGAGGCCAAGGUGGGAGGAUUUCUUCAGCCCAGGAGUUCGAGACCAGCCUGGGGAACAUAGGAGACCUCAUUCCUACAAAUAAUAAAAAAAAUUAGCCAGCUCUGGUGGCGUGUGCUUAUUGGUCUCAGCUACUUGGGAGGCUGAGGUGGGAGGACUGCUUGAGCCCAGAAGAUCGCAGCUGCAUUGAGCCAUGAUUGUGCCACUGAACCCUAGCCUGAGCAACAGAGCAAGGCCUUAUCUCAAAAAAAAAAAAAAAUUCUGAGCCUUCUAAUUUUUUUUUUCUUUAAUUAACUUUCUGUAAGCCCAGCAAGUAAAUAAAACACUUAUUUUAUGAAGCAUCUAGUUGCUUUUAGGGGAAGGGACAUCCUCCGCAUAGUAUCUAGGCCAGCUCACUUUCUUCUCCUUACUGUUGAUUUACUCUCUGCCAUUGAAUCUUCUGUGCCAAUGUUGGAUUAAUGUUUCCGGGCCCUACUUUCAUCAUGCUCCUCUGUAUUAUCACCUGUUUUGGUUUACAGCAAUGAUUUUUAAGGUAAGGCAUGGUGUGUCCAUCAUAGUCACAUGGGAACUUUUUCAAGCCAUAUUAAAAAUGUCCCCCAUUCAUCAUUCUGCCCCUGGAACAGUGUGUGCAGUUGGGACCUUCAAGUAAAUCUACUUUGUUGAAACCCACUGAUCAGCAUGGUGUAUUUCAUAACUCUUUGACUUACAUUCAAGAAAUUCCUUAACCUGAACUCCAUUUUACUCUUUUUUUCAUUCAUUCAAAUUAAGAAUAUUGCCUGAACAUGAAUUAUCUGCUAGACGUUUUUCUAGGUGCAGGAGGAGUAAGGAUGAACAUAACUAGCCAUAACUAUAGCUAUCAAUUGUGGAGUGUCUGUUAUGUGCCAGGCACUUUUAAGUGACCUACUCGAUUUACUUGCAUGACAAACUGUGAGGAAAAGCCCAAUAUUAUCCCCUAUUAACAGAUGAGGAAACUGAAGCACAAACAGCAUGAAUAGUUUGUUCCAGAUUGCAUCAUAAGAGGCACAGCCAGCUUUCCUACCAAAGCAGCCCUGGCCCAGAGUCCGUACUCCCUCCUCCCCUGCCUCUGCCUGGUGGAUAAGGUCACCCUGGCCUUGUGGAACUUAUGCUCUAGUGGGGACAAAUAGUUAUAGAGAAUGACCGAUGUUACUAAGAAAAUAAAAGCUGGUAAGAAAACAGAAGCACUGAGGAGGUGACUGAAGUGAGCAUUUAUAAUUUUAUGUUAUAUCCAUUGUAAAAUAUAAGUUUAGCUUUCUCAUACCAGAAGCAGGGCUCAGUCCACCCUUGACUCAGUUUCCAAUACUGUUCCCCAUCAGAAUGGCUCUUGCUGGUGGCCAGAAGUAAAACUUAGAAAUAUCUCUCUCAGAGACACCUAAGCAGGCUGGGCUCCCCGGUUUCCUGUUGCUUCCUUUAAAGAAGCUCUUCAGACAUCUGCACAAGAACUCAAAGUGACCACCUCUCAGCCCAGCAUGACCUACUGGAACUAAUGCCUGCUUGCUUUCAACCUACCAAUUAAAGCUCCCCAGGAAACCUGUUUAGAUAACACCCUGGACCCAAGAAAGGUGCUGGGCCAUGGGUUUCUUCUCUCUCUCCCUAUCUGUGCUCCCUGACCCCCUGUGUGUGUGUGGUCUCUAGGCUUGCCUUCUAUCCCUGAGGGUCUGUAAAUACUAAAAACACUUAAACUUUCAUAUUGUAGUUGUGUCUUUGAAGCCAGGUCCCCAUCCCGUACCUUGAGGGCAAGGCCUCCUGGAAGGGACCCAUGUAGGUGGAUCCCCUGCUGUCCAGGCCUCUUAGCUGCUGGGGUAGUGACCAGUUAAGUGGAUAGAGUUUCAUUCAAAACAAUAAUCAUUCAACUGUAUCUCACAUCAAACCUCUGCUCUAGUUUAUGUAUCUACUUUAUGUUCUUAGAAGACUGUGCAAACACAUUGUCUUUUUUGAGUACCUGUCUUGUCCUAGGUACUCUGCUUGGUACGGGGAGAGACGAAUCUUCUGUCUUCAGGGGCUUCCACUCCAGCAGGGAGAACAUGACUAAUAGUGACUGCCUGCUGCUGUAGGUAAUAAGUGGCUCCCACUAGGCCCUCCAUUUGGUGGCCCCCUGUCCCUCUCACUGGUGGAAGCCUACCUGUCCUCUAAGGACCAGCUCACUAAUGUCCUAGAUCCUCACGGACCAGAUUGCUUUUCUCAGAACUGAAGAGCACUUACUAAUGGCACCUCUUGUCAUAUGCCAUCCCAGGAUUUGAAUUUUUUUUUUUUUUCUGUCUUGUGGCCCAAAUAAAUCCUGAACUCCUCGAGGGCUGGGAGUGUAUCUAGCAGUUUCCUUAUACUGGACUAAUCAGAUGCUGACUAGGUAGCAGUGAGAAAAAUCUAGAAAUUCCCUUUUAGCCACAUCGACUUACACGAGGGGAUGUGUGUAAGGUACUAUAGCUCUUUAAACAAGAGGUGGUCUCGUUUGAAGGGUGGAUUGAUGUGGGUGUUCAAAUGAUGUCACAAGUGGCUGGUUUCUCUGUCUCCAUUUCUUUUUUUUUUGGCUCCAUUUCCAAAUUUCCCAGAUAGCACAGCAAGUUGGCCCCAGCAGCUCUAGACACUCCAUCUUCUCAGGGCAUAGCCAACACAAUAAAAUAUUUCAAGUUCCUGAAAGAUAGCUGAAAUAAGCCCUAGAAGUUUCUGGAUUGGGAGCAGAGCCAAACCUGCCAGCUCACAUAGAUGAGGGCAGGGAAUAGGGUGUCUCACGAUCACAGUGUCCUGCCUUCUGAUUUGCCUGGGACUGUCCUGUUUUGGCACCAAAAAUAUCUGCAUCCUAGGAAACCCUCAGGUCCUGGGCAAAUUCAGACAGUGACUUGCCCUAUCAGAAGCAAAGCAAGGUGCCAUUACCUGAGGUGGGCAAAUUCAGACAGUGACUUGCCCUAUCAGAAGCAAAGCAAGGUUGCCAUUACCUGAGGUGGGCAAAUGGAGGCUGGGUGGCCAGUGAGUGACCAAUAACCCCAGCAUUGGAGAGAGUGGAGCAGCCCUUCAAGAAGUUCCAACCUCUGCCCAGGACUGGUUUUACCAACUUCACUAGGCUUAGAAUCGUAGGAAGUCUAUUUGGGACUUGCGAGUCUCACGUAUUCCUGCCUAAAUGUUUAUGGAUACCUGUUUAGAGCUGAAAUCUUUUCAGCUCCCAUAAUAUGAGGGAAUUAGGUCUCAAAGAAGAUCAUGUAUUUUGAUCAGACCUUAUAGCUGAGCAGUGGAAAGAAAAAAAAUCAGUGUGAGAUCUCCCAGGGUUCCGCAGGAGUGGCUUCCUUAGUCCAACUGGCAGCCUAUCCUGGAAUAUUGCCUGGGAGAGAGGUUAGUUGCUUUUCCUGGUGCUAGGAACUGAAUGGUUUUACAUAUUGAUCAAUGAAAAUACUUAUUUGGCCUACAAUAGGUGCAAAAAUACUGCUAAUUACUAACAGUAUCUCUUCUUUGCUGCGUGCCAGACACUCCACUGGGCAUUAUGCAGUUAAUAUGUACCAUGAAUUUCCCGUGGUUAGCAAUGAUGUCAGGCAUAGAAAAGACAUGAAAUUAUGAUGUCAAAUGAAUAAACUGGAAAAAGGAAUUUCUUGAAUUUUCUCCAGCUGUCCUAAGAAUGUAUCUAUACUUUGAUCCUGGCCUACCUUUUCAACAUCUAAACUUUAUUCCCCCAAGCUUCUAGAUAUUCAAAGUUAAGUAUUAAAUAAAAUCAGUAAAUAUAUACAAGCUUGUUUGGCCAUUCUGAAUAAGGUUAUAUUUCCACCACACAAUCUCCAAAUUCUCUAGCAGAAGGGAUCAGUAUGUUAUAGAUACCCCCUUUCCUUCCCUCCCUGGCAAGCCACCACAUCUGUUAUGGGUACUCAAUGCAGUGGCUGCACCUGGGCCUCACUCAUUAAGCAGUUGUUGAUUGAGUGACUGAAUUGAAUGCCUGAUGAGCUCGCAAGUAAGAUUCAGACUGUGCCUGCAAACUAAUAGGAUCCCUCCGCUUUUUAUUCACUACUGCUGAGGUAGAUCUCAGGCCAGCCUGAAGUUUAGGUCUACUGAGAAAUAAUAAGCCUCAAAAAUCGAGCUUUGCUUCACCCAGUCUCCCAGUAAACACUAAGAAAUGUUCACAUUAUUUACACAUCCUAGACUGCCUGUCUUAUGGACCAAAUGUUUGUGUUCUCCCCGCAAUUUAUACAUUGGAAUCCUAACCCUCAAUGUAAUAGCAUUAGGUGCUGGGGUCUUUGGGAGGUGAUUGGCUAAUGGACCUGGAGCCCUCAUGAUGGGAUGAGUCCCCUUAUCAGAAGAGACCUGAGAAGGCUUGCUUCCUCUCCCUGUGCUCUUCAUGAUGUGAAGACACAAGAAGACAGCCAUCUGUGGGCCAGGAAGAGGUCCUCACUGGAACCCAACCAUGCUGGCACCCCAAUCUUGAAUUUCUAGCUUCAAGAACUUGGGAAAUAAAUGUAAGCCAGCCAGCUUAUGGAUUUGUUACAGCAGCCUAAGCUAAGUCAGAGUCUCUAGAACAGCUGGUCUGGGGCAGCGGUGAAGGGAGGUGGGUGGGCAUAUGACCCUGCCCUGCACAUGAAUGGCAAAGGCAACUGGAGAGCCUCUCCCUUUUGGUGAGAUCCCCAGUCCACAAGGGCAUGUUCAUCCAUAGCUUUACUUCCCGAAGCAAAUUCUGGUUCCUGGGGCCUGUGCCUCCAUAGAUGGCAUGAUCUGCAGCCUCCUGUGGUAAUUUACCCUCUUCCUAAAUUUCUGAGUCUUCACAUUUAAGCAAUCCUAGUUAGAUAUCCUCUACCUGUAUCCAUGGCUGUCUUUCAGUCACAUUACAGACUCAUUGUGAUGACCAUGUAGGGACAAUGUGAUUUCAGAAACAUGGCCUCAUUUGAUUUUAAUGUAAAUAUAAAUCAGUGAAGCAGAAAAAGAGAAUCUCCAGAAAAACAAGGGAUGAGGCUGUACAGCAAGUUAAAGUGGAAUCAGAACCCAACUGUAGUCCAUUAUUUGUUUCAAUCCUGCUCUUUUCUACCAUAUCACCCAGUUUCCAAAUCGUUCAGCAAAUUGCCAUGGUCAAUGGGAUUAACCUUUCCCUUUUAUUCUCAGGAAAUCUCCCUUGUCCAUUUUGCAAGACUGUGUGAUUCUUUCUACUGUUACAAGGAAUAAAAGCCUUCCUAAAAAGGUCUUUGGUGCCUUUAUUAUUUUACGGAUCAUUUCUGAGGGAAUUAUUGAACUUCAUUAUGUAACCACCCCUUGGGUUCACCUUGCCCACUGCCUAGACAGAGCCAAUUUAUCCAGACAGGAGAAUUGCAAUGGAGAAAGAGUAAUUC
rnacentral:lncRNA from 1 species